UUGUUAAAAACAUAUAGCUCAGUUGGUAGAGCAUGAGACUCUUAAUCUCAGGGUUGUGGGUUCAAGCUCCAAGUUGGGCAAA